UUUCCGUAGGUGAACCUGCGGAAGGAUCAUUAUUGUAUAACCGAGGUGCGAGGGCUGUCGCUGACCCGAAAGGUCGUGCACGCCCGAGUGCCCUCACACACAUCCAUCUCACCCCUGUGUGCACCACCGCGUGGGUCCCCCUUUGGCUUGUUCGGAGGGGGGCUUACGUUUUCACACAAACUUUGUAUGCAGUGUAGAAUGUAUUUUUUGUUCUUGCGAUCACGCAAUCAAUACAACUUUCAACAACGGAUCUCUUGGCUCUC
rnacentral:misc_RNA from 1 species